GCGCGGGUCAGAGCAGCAGAAAGGAAGUGUGGAUUGAGGGGUUUAUCCUAUCUCCCUGGCGGAGGCAGGGGCUGAGGAGGAGGGGGGGGGUAAGCAGGAUUAUAAGUGCCGGCGGAGGGGCCGGUAGGAGGUGUGUGAACAUUGUGACGGUUCAGAGGGAGAGCCGUGAGACUGGACGCCUUCUGAGGAAACACAUAAAGAGCAGGCCCGAGAGGAACACAUGCUGCUCACCUCUAGAUAUGGGAGAGAGGUGUCAGACAGUAAUGGUCCGACCAGGAUCCAGCUCCACUGGUUUGUGUGUGUGCGUCUGAGAGUGAGAGUCUGUUUGUGUAUGUGUGUGUAUGUUUGUCUGAGAGUGUGUGUGUGUACAUGUGUACCCA